ACGGCGCCCGGCCUAUCCGUGGAUAACCCUGAAGAGUGUCCACCAUCAUCAAACUGCUUAGGGAGCCAUCCUGAGGUCACCUGGGGGUACAGCCAACACAGGAGGGUGGCCCUGCUGGACACCUGGAUGCACCCACCCUGGAGCUGCCACCCCUGGCAGACACUUUGCCAGCAAAGUCCUUGUGGCCACCACACCUUGCAGGCUCUAAUUAUCACCUCUACAGUGGCCUGGAGCAGGAGCUGGCUUCCUGCUGCUGGAACAUUCCUUCCUACAGCAGUCACCUCAGAGACCAGCCAACAGAUAAUUUUUCCCCUCUCCUGGAGGUGAGCGCUGCCGGCUGCUGGCCUGGGCCUGUCUAAACAGGCGUCUCUCUGCAAGGGUUCACUGGCUCUUUCUAGUCCUGCCAAGGCUGCGGUGGGGGUGGCCGGCCCAGCUCCACGUGGAAUGAGAUGCUGAGGCUGGGACAGCCACGCCGUUCUGCACUGACCAGACGCUUCCUCCUGAUCUAGACACAGCCCAGAAACCAGGAGAUGCCAGGGGUGAGGUCCCAGCCAAUCUACACUUCCACCUAUUUCAGAGUUAGAAUCCCAAAAUAACAGGGAAGGGGGGCUAUGGCAAGCUGAUCGUGUCACUCCAGAAUUCAUACGUCAAAGCCCCAACCCCUUGUACCUCUGAAUGUGACUGUCUUUGGAGACCGGGCCUUUAAAGAGGCGAUUAAGUUAAAAUGAGGCCAUUAGGGUUAGGGUGGGCUCUAAUCCAAUAGGGCCAGUGUCCUUCCAAGAAGAGAUUAGGACACAACACUCACAGAAGGACAACUACGUGAAGACACAGGGGGAAGACGGCUGUGGGCACGCCAAGGAGGGGCCUCGGAAGAAACCAACCCUGCCAACACCUUGAUCCUGGACUUCCAGCCUCCAGA